rnacentral:rRNA from 1 species
GACGAACGCUGGCGGCGUGCCUAAUACAUGCAAGUUGAGCGCUGAAGGUUGGUACUUGUACCAACUGGAUGAGCAGCGAACGGGUGAGUAACGCGUGGGGAAUCUGCCUUUGAGCGGGGGACAACAUUUGGAAACGAAUGCUAAUACCGCAUAAAAACUUUAAACACAAGUUUUAAGUUUGAAAGAUGCAAUUGCAUCACUCAAAGAUGAUCCCGCGUUGUAUUAGCUAGUUGGUGAGGUAAAGGCUCACCAAGGCGAUGAUACAUAGCCGACCUGAGAGGGUGAUCGGCCACAUUGGGACUGAGACACGGCCCGAACUCCUACGGGAGGCAGCAGUAGGGAAUCUUCGGCAAUGGACGAAAGUCUGACCGAGCAACGCCGCGUGAGUGAAGAAGGUUUUCGGAUCGUAAAACUCUGUUGGUAGAGAAGAACGUUGGUGAGAGUGGAAAGCUCAUCAAGUGACGGUAACUACCCAGAAAGGGACGGCUAACUACGUG